rfam:Tilletia controversa strain DAOM 236426 scaffold_605, whole genome shotgun sequence.
GGGGCUGUAGCGCAGGGGUAGCGCGCUUCCUUCGCAUCAAGAUAGGAAGAGGCCGUGAGUUCGAAUCUUACCUGCUCCA